rnacentral:rRNA from 1 species
CGACGAUUAAAGCUCCCUUCGGGGAGUGCAUAAAGUGGCGCACGGGUGAGUAACACGUAAGUAAUCUACCCUCGGGUGGGGAAUAACAUCGGGAAACCGAUGCUAAUACCGCAUAAUGCAGCGGCACCGCAAGGUGACAGUUGUUAAAGGAGCAAUCCGCCUGGGGAGGAGCUUGCGGCAGAUUAGCUUGUUGGUAAGGUAACGGCUUACCAAGGCUACGAUCUGUAUCCGGUCUAAGAGGACGGUCGGACACACUGACACUGAAUAACGGGUCAGACUCCUACGGGAGGCAGCAGUCGGGAAUUUUGGGCAAUGGGGGAAACCCUGACCCAGCAACGCCGCGUGAAGGAUGAAGUAUUUCGGUAUGUAAACUUCGAAAGAAUAGGAAGAAUUAAUGACGGUACUAUUUAUAAGGUCCGGCUAACUACGUGCCAGCAGCCGCGGUAAUACGUAGGGACCAAGCGUUGUUCGGAUUUACUGGGCGUAAAGGGCGCGUAGGCGGCGCGGUAAGUCACUUGUGAAAUCUCUGAGCUUAACUCAGAACGGCCAAGUGAUACUGCAGUGCUAGAGUGUGGAAGGGGCAAUCGGAAUUCUUGGUGUAGCGGUGAAAUGCGUAGAUAUCAAGAGGAACACCUGAGGUGAAGACGGGUUGCUGGGCCAACACUGACGCUGAGGCGCGAAAGCCAGGGGAGCAAACGGGAUUAGAUACCCCGGUAGUCCUGGCCCUAAACGAUGAAUACUUGGUGUCUGGAGUUUUAAUGCUCCGGGUGCCGUCGCUAA